CAUCACUACGCUAGAUGCAUAUCAAUAAGCGGAGGAAAAGAAACUAACAAGGAUUCCCCUUAGUAACGGCGAGUGAAGCGGGAAGAGCUCAAAUUUGAAAUCUUCAAGGGUUCUACCUUUACGAAUUGUAGUUUAGAGAAGUGUUUUCUGUUAGUGAGUUCGGCUAAAAGUUCUUUGGAAUAGGACAUCAUAGAGGGUGAGAAUCCCGUAUUUGGUCAUUCCUCCUAGCUGUUGUGAUACACUUUCAACGAGUCGGAUUGUUUGGGAAUGCAGUCCAAAAUGGGUGGUAAAUUUCAUCUAAAGCUAAAUAUUGGCGAGAGACCGAUAGCGAACAAGUACCGUGAGGGAAAGAUGAAAAGAACUUUGAAAAGAGAGUUAAACAGUACGUGAAAUUGUCAAAAGGGAAGCGUUUGACACCAGUGUUGUUUAGUUGAAAAUCAAUUCAAUAAUUUUUGAUUUUAAGUAGUAUUGACUUCAUCAGCUUGCUGCUUUCUUUUCAGGAAAUUAUUGAAUGCACUUUUCAGUUAACAAGUCAACAUCAAUUUCUUUUGUUGUAAAAGGGUAAGAGGAAGGUGGCUUACGCUUCGGCGUAAGUGUUUAUAGCCUUUUACCUCUGCAAUCGGAGAGAUUGAGGACAGCAGCGUAGACUCUUCGGGGUUAGAUACACUUGUGCUAAGCUAUAGCCUUGUAUAGACAACUUGUUGACUAUGCUCAGUCAUGUAGCUUACUCGCUUGUGCUAUUUUACCUACGCUUAGGAUGUUGACGAGACUGUCGAUCUC
rnacentral:rRNA from 1 species